rnacentral:rRNA from 1 species
UACAGAGGUCCCAAGCGUUGUUCGGAUUCACUGGGCGUAAAGGGUGCGUAGGCGGUCGGAUAAGUCUGAUGUGAAAUCUUCGAGCUCAACUCGGAAACUGCAUCGGAAACUAUUCGGCUAGAGGAUUGGAGGGUCGCGGAAUUCCCGGUGUAGAGGUGAAAUUCGUAGAUAUCGGGAGGACACCGGUGGCGAAGGCGGCGACCUGGGUAGAUACUGACGCUGAGGCGCGAAAGCGUGGGGAGCAAACAGG